UCCACAGUAGCUAAGUGGUAGAGCUACCGGCUGUUAACCGAUCGGUCGUAGGUUCGAGUCCUGCCUGUGGAGCCA
rnacentral:tRNA from 1 species